rnacentral:rRNA from 1 species
CACGAUAGUUCGCCAUGCAGUCUAAGUACGAGCUCCCGUACAGUGAAACUGCGAAUGGCUCAUUAAAUCAGUUAUGGUUCAUUUGAUCGUACGUGUUACUUGGAUAACUGUGGAAAUGCUAGAGCUAAUACAUGCAUAAAGCGCCGACCUCGCGGGAGGCGUGCUUUUAUCAGACCAAAAACCGACCGGGCUUCGGCUCGUCGCUUUGGUGACUCUGGAUAACUUCGCGGAUCGCACGGUCGAGCACCGGCGACGGAUCAUUCAAGUGUCUGCCCUAUCAACUUUCGUCGGUAGGGUAUCGGCCUACCGAGGUUCUUACGGGUAACGGGGAAUCAGGGUUCGAUUCCGGAGAGGGAGCCUGAGAAACGGCUACCACAUCCAAGGAAGGCAGCAGGCGCGCAAAUUACCCAUUCCCGACGCGGGGAGGUAGUGACGAAAAAUAACAAUACAGGACUCUCAACGAGGCCCUGUAAUUGGAAUGAGUACACUUUAAAACCUUUAACGAGUAUCCAUUGGAGGGCAAGUCUGGUGCCAGCAGCCGCGGUAAUUCCAGCUCCAAAAGUGUAUAUUUAAGUUGCUGCGGUUAAAAAGCUCGUAGUUGGAUUUUGGGCGCAGGCGGCCGGUCCGUCGCAAGGCGUGCACUGGCCGUCCUGGCCUUACCUCCGGUUCCCCGCCGGUGCUCUUGACUGAGUGUCGGCGGCGGCCGGGACGUUUACUUUGAAAAAAUUAGAGUGUUCAAAGCAGGCGGUUCGCCUGAAUAAUGGUGCAUGGAAUAAUGGAAUACGACCUCGGUUCUAUCUUGUUGGUUUUCUGAGCGCGAGGUAGUGAUCAAGAGGGACAGACAGGGGGCAUUCGUACUGUGCCGUCAGACGGUGGAAUUCUUGGGAUCAGCGCAGACGCAUCCGACUGCGAAAGCAUUAUGUCCAGAUGCUUUUCUCUAAUCAUGAUCUAAAGUCAGACGUCGAGACUAUCAGGAUACGUACGUAGUCUGACUACCGAUCGAUGCAACUAGUGAUCUGGCACAAUAGAUAGACGGACCCUCCUCUGCUGCUCUCCAGCAACCCAGCUCUUCGGAUACCAGGUAAGUAUGGUGCAGCGUAAGCUUAUAAUACUGCAGCCACGCCGCAAGACGACAGCUCCCUAUGACUCACCGCUUAAUUCUCAUCCGACUGAACUCGCGCGCCUGACCGAUGCACUUUAGCGAUCGUUACGGUUAGUGUAGCGUACCAU